GGAAGAUACAAGCCUAGCUGCACCUAAGUCCCUGUUCACACCAUGUCUUCAUGUUUAGCACCGAGAAAACCUCCAGUGCUGCAUCAGGGACACAUUUUGCUGUGUUCCCACAUGUUCAAAAGAUUCCUACAAACAAAGGGAUGUGACCAAGGUGAGGUAGUGGUCACUGCUUUAAUGGUAGCUAACAAGAUCAUUGAGAGAUCCCACAGUGUCCAAAGCCUGGAAUUAUGGAAUUGUCUUCCUUAUGGAUGCCUCCUAAGAUGACUGUCAUCUUUCUCAGAGUUGAUGUUAAAACUGUUAUGCAGUGACGGUUAAGGGUGAGUGGACAAAAAUGCACAGUGAGAAUGAACAGUGACAUGUCAUUCUAUGAGAUAUUUGAUGUGAGCAUUGUAUAUAAUUAAAGUCCUAAUCCUUAACAUACAAACCCCAUUUCCAGAAA